CAGCGGGAGAGAGCACUCAAAUGCCGCCGAAGGAGCAACCGACUCGGAAACUCUCAGGCAAAAGGACCGCUUU
rnacentral:ncRNA from 1 species